GUAGGGCCUGCUCACUGAGGAUUUAAAGAGCCGCAGUAUCCUGACUGUGCUAAGGUAGCAUAAUCAUUAGUCUUUUAAAUGGAGACUGGUAUGAAUGGUUUAACGAGAAAUCGACUUUUUUUAUUAUACAAAUUGAAUUUAACUUCUUAGUGAAAAGGCUAAGAUUAAUCAAAAAGACGAGAAGACCCUAUAGAGUUUUAUGGAAUUAUGUAUUGCACCUUGACUAGAUAUCGCCAAGGUGCAAUACAUUCUUCCAUUUGGUUGGGGCGACAUUAAGAUAAAAAAAACUCUUUAUUAUUUAAAUUUUUAUGAAAAUUUAAGUUUGAUCCUUUAAAAAAGAUUAAAAGAAAAAAUUACCUUAGGGAUAACAGCGUAAUCUUUUUUGAGAGUUCUAAUCGACAAAAAGGUUUGCGACCUCGAUGUUGGACUAAAAUUUGGGCAGGGUGCAGCAGCUCUGUUUCUAGGUCUGUUCGACCUAUAAAAUUUUACAUGAUCU
rnacentral:rRNA from 1 species